rnacentral:tRNA from 3 species
GCCGCCAUGGUGAAAUUGGUAGACACGCUGCUCUUAGGAAGCAGUGCUAUAGCAUCUCGGUUCGAAUCCGAGUGGCGGCA